UAAAAAAUAAAAUAUAUUUUAAGCUUUAAAUAUGCAUAGUAGAGUAGACACUUUUUUCUAUCUCUUUUCGUUUAAUUUCUUCUGCUAUGUUCCUUUCUAUGUAAUUUGAUAAUAAAAAAAAUUCCUGCUUACACUUACUUCUUUACUUGAUGUAUUUGCUGAUUUAUUGUUACACAUAGUUUUCAGAGGAAACUUAAACUCUUGCAGAUCAAAUGAAUGAUAAUAAAAAGUUUUCAAUAAUUUAAGGUUUAAGUAACAUAGUCUUUAGAUUAACUAUGGUAUUUGCAGAAAAUUUCAUAUUUAGGAUUUAAUAUAAUAACAUCAAAAUUUGUUCAUUUAGAAGUGACAUUUCAAUCUAAAUUGUUUUAAGUCUCAUAAUAAUGCAAUUUUUAAGUGCAACAUCACAUAAGGCUGUAGAACUUUUGACAUUUCUGUGAAUAUAAACAAAAUUAUACAAGUGAUGAGUUAUCAUAUGUUUUGAUGUUAAUUCAAUGCUUAUAAUACAAAAGAGCAACAACAACAAAAACAAACAAUUAAAGCUGGAUGUUAACAGAAAAGACAGUCUAUUGAGAUGUAAUGUCAUAAAGCAACACUCUCUCUUAAUUGGAAUGAAAUAAUUGAACAUGAUCAGUCCAAUAUAACUAUAAACUAGCCUGGGGAUAAAAAUGCUGUUUCAAACACUAGUUCAAAUUAAUGAUGGGGGGGGGGGGUGUUCAGGGGGGGUAGCACAUAACAGCUUUUACUGUAAAACUAACACAUCCAGUUCAUACCAGAAAUGCUAAAAAUUCCAAUUUUAAAAUGCAAGAUGUAAAGAUUUAUAUGUAUCUAUUCAACUAACAAAAUGAUUUUAGUUUCUUCCAUUUUUUGCUCCUAUGGUGGUAAAGUAUCUGCUUUUUUGUGUGUGCAUGAAUCAUAGUGCUAUAACAACCUACCUGUGGAGGACAAUCCAAAACCUAGUCAGUGGCAGAAUGCAAUACCUGAUAUAAAAGUUCAUGAUAAGGGACAUCCGAAAGAUGGUACCAUGCAUGUGGUUGAAGUUGAGUACCAAUGUAAAGAAUGUUCAGAUGAUGG